GCAGCAGGCAAUACACUACUGGAUUCAGUCAGUGUGUGGAAAGUGUGCAGUGGAUUAUUAUGGCUCAGCAUGCAGUCAUGUCUUGUGCCAAGAAGUCAAGGGAGAAACAGACAAGAGUGUCCAAUGUAGGGGUGCCCCAAACAGGCAUAUUUAUAGGGAGAAAAGUGACCUGAAGCAGUUUCUUAGGAGUUGAAAUUAUUUUUCUAGAAUGAAGAAUUGACAUAGGUUUGAGGAAAAUGUCAGGACAAUCAAUCUAGAAGUCUCACACAAAAGGGUGUCAUCUCCAGAGGGAAAUGCCCCUGGAUUCUCAACCUUUGGGAUGAUGAAUCCAGCAACAUUUGUUGUGGAGGGCAUGGUCUCCAGUCCCUGGAAAAUGAAGAACAUCUCCUUUCAGAAGAAAUCCUGGUAUAUCUGGUGGGAACAUAGGAAUGGACCUUCUCUGUGGCUGCCAUCAAGGUCUUGAACUCCCUUUCCAGAGAGGGUAGACUGUCACCCUCCCAACUUUCUUUUUAUAAACAGGCCCACAUAUAUCCGGAACCACCGCAUCUCAUCCAUGAACCUAUCACUUUUGAGAUAUUUGUGGACUAUAACUUCCAUCAGAUCUAGAUAACAUAGCCAAAUGUGAGGAAUCAUUAGAGCUUCAGUCCAAAACAGUGGGGCUGAAGGAAGGCAGGAAUUCCUCAUUCAUGCUAUACAUAGCUACCUAAGGUCUGAGCCUACAUUUCAAGUUGCAAUACAGAAAACGUUUGACUGUAACUGAUAUAUGAUUUCCAGAAUCUCCAACUUCCCACACAGUUCCCUAGGGAAAUAAUUCUUCACUACCUUCAUUCUUAAAGGAUGGAACAGGUAAUUUCUCUCCACACUACAAGAAAGUCUUCAAACACUGUACAGUUUUAUAAAAAAUUGCAAUUUUCUACUUGAUCUGUGCAAAAUAUUCAUGCGAUUUUGUUUUGCAGAGAAAACAGCAUUUUCUG